AGUGAACGCUGGCGGCGUGCCUAAGACAUGCAAGUCGAACGAUAAAGCACCUUCGGGUGUGAUUAAAGUGGCGCACGGGUGAGUAACACUUGGGUAACCUACCCUUCAGGAGGGGGAUAACCUCGGGAAACCGGGCUAAUACCGCGUAAGCCUAAUUUUUCUGCGGAUUAAUUAGGGAAAGCUUUUGCGCUGAAGGAUGGGCCCGAGCCCGAUUAGUUUGUUGGUGGGGUAAUGGCCUACCAAGACUACGAUUGGUAGCUGGUCUGAGAGGAUGAUCAGCCACACUGGUACUGGAACACGGACCAG
rnacentral:rRNA from 1 species